UGGGGAAUAUUGGACAAUGGGCGAAAGCCUGAUCCAGCCAUGCCGCGUGUGUGAAGAAGGUCUUCGGAUUGUAAAGCACUUUAAGUUGGGAGGAAGGGCUGCAAGUUAAUACCUUGUAGUUUUGACGUUACCAACAGAAUAAGCACCGGCUAACUUCGUGCCAGCAGCCGCGGUAAUACGGAGGGUGCGAGCGUUGUUCGGAAUUACUGGGCGUAAAGCGCGUGCAGGCGGUCUCUUAAGUCUGGUGUGAAAGCCCGGGGCUCACCCCCGGAAGGGCACUGGAGACUGGGAGGCUAGAGUACCGGAGAGGAAGGUGGAAUUCCUGGUGUAGCGGUGAAAUGCGUAGAUAUCAGGAGGAACACCGGUGGCGAAGGCGGCCUUCUGGACGGCUACUGACGCUGAGACGCGAAAGCGUGGGGAGCAAACA
rnacentral:rRNA from 1 species